AUCUGCUGAGUGACAAGUGGCGGCAGUGAGGUUGUACGGGAGGACAGGGAGGCCUGUUCCUGGCAGGGGAGCCACAUGCAUGUGGAGCUCAUAUGGGUUUCUGAAAGGGAGACAGGCCACUCUGAUGGGCUCUGUGUCCAAGGACAGGGAGACCACGGGAAGCGAGGCCCAAAGGCUGAGAGGUAAGGUCCAGGGAGGAGAAGGAAAGGGUUUGAAUUCAGAUAGCAACACCGGAGUGGGAGGGAUCUGAAAAAUAGAGCAGAAGCUCCUUCAGGCAUCCGGAGGCUGACCAGACAUGCAGGGAGACAGAGAAGAAAGAGAUGAAGAGAAUGCUGGGUUUUGAGCCUGGGCAGUGGGGAGGGUAGAAAUACAGAAAGAGACAAACAGCCUCAAGGAGAGGUUUGGGGAGGAGAAGAUCAGUUCAAUUUCGUGAGAAGUUCUGCAGGGUGUCUAAGCAGAGACGGCCAGCAGAGUAGGCCGGUAGAAAUGUGGGGAUCUGGGGAGCUGGAAAUCGGGGGCUCAUGGAAGCACUGGCUGAAGAUGUGGACGCGGAGGAGAGAGACAGAAGCGAUGUGCUGGGAGAGGAGGCCCGGCCAGCAGAGGAGCAGGACAAGGAAGAGGACGCCAUGCUUGUGGCUGUGCACUGGAAGCACUGGAGAUCCUGCUGCCACACAGCUUCCGGUCCAGGCUGAGGACGGCGGCCACUUGGUGUGGAAGACACAGGAGCUGUUGCAUUUGCACCCAGGUUGUAAAACAAGAUGGUGAUAUUGUAGAAGAAGAUGCAAAAAUUCCAAUUUUAAAAGCAAAACCAGAAAACUUCAAGGACACGUGGUGCUUGCUGCCAUCUGUUUCCGGUUCUGCAGAGUAUGUGUUUGCUCCCUCCUGCCUCCUGGGAGCUUGGUGGGAGAGUUUGGGAAGUGUUGCCAGGGAACCCACCCUAAGAAGCCUGGCUUGGCUCUUCCUAAUGGGUAUUCGAGCCUCACUAGGCAGUGAGCUGCUCAUAUUCCUGGUGAAGGUGAGAUGGAGCUGUUUUCACAGCAUCUUACACAGUUGUUCCGGUCCUAGGCUGCACCUUAGAAUCACCUGAUGAACUUUCAAACAAUACUCAUGCCAGAGUCCCACCCGGCCCAAGUGCACCAGAGUUCCUGGGAGUGUGGUUAGGGCACACUGUGUUUUAAAAGCUCCCGGGUGAUUCUCAAGUGCAGCUUCCGCUGGGGACGCUGACUGACAGUUUAGACUUCAGAGUUCAGGGAUCCUGAGAGUGUCUAUGUCCCUGGCGGGAAACGGUGGCACAGACAGCGUGUCCCCUACCCUCUACCUACCAACCACACUUAGACUAGUGGGCGAAUGAGACUGCAUUCCAGAAGCCCACCCCCAGCUAAAGAAAGGGUGCAGAGGUUAGGGGCGGGUGGAGAGCAAGACGAAACUUUGCAGGGGGGCAGGAAGGCUGUACUGUGUUGGAUAGUGUCCCCCCAAAUUCAUGUCCUUUCCAGAGCCUCAGAACGUGACCUUAUUUGGAAAUAGGGUCGCUGUAGAUGUAAUUAGUUAAGACACAGGAGUGGGGUAGGCCCUUCGUCCAAUCUGACUACUGUCCUUAUGAGAAGAGAGAGAGAGCACAUGUGCAGAUGGAGGUGCACGCCCAAGCACACCAGGGGCUAGAGGAGGCCUGGGACAGGCUGUAGAAAGUAAAAGUUCCUCUCCAAAGUUUCCCUUCUUGUUAAACUGUUAGCCAGUCGGGUUUUAGUUUAGAUUGUCAUGUCUGGCUCCAGCCAAUGGAGACAAGACACAGUAGCAGGGACAAACUGUGUAAGGAAUAAAAAUUGAUUCCCUCC